UACAGAGGUGGCAAGCGUUGUUCGGAAUUACUGGGCGUAAAGGGUUCGUAGGUGGCCACUUAAGUCAGACGUGAAAUCCCUCAGCUUAACUGGGGAACUGCGUCUGAUACUGCGUGGCUUGAGUGCAGGAGAGGAAUGCGGAAUUCCAGGUGUAGCGGUGAAAUGCUUAGAUAUCUGGAGGAACACCGGUGGCGAAGGCGGCAUCCUGGACCGGCAUUGACGCUGAGGCGCGAAAGCCAGGGGAGCAAACGGG
rnacentral:rRNA from 1 species